AGCAGCCGCGGUAAUUCCAGCUCCAAUAGCGUAUAUUAAAGUUGUUGCAGUUAAAAAGCUCGUAGUUGAAUUUCGGGAUCAAUACGUCGGUCGUGCCUCUGGUAUGUACUGGUGUUAUUGAUUCCUUCUUUCUGAUGAAUCACGAUGUCAUUAAUUUGGUGUUGUGGGGAGUCAGGACUGUUACUUUGAAAAAAUUAGAGUGUUUAAAGCAGGCCU
rnacentral:rRNA from 1 species